AUGCAGCUGACGAGUCCCAAAUUGGACAACGAAACGUGCGUCCUGGAU
rfam:Schistosoma rodhaini strain Burundi genome assembly, scaffold: SROB_scaffold0004868